UCCAGAGAUGGACUGGUGCCUUCGGGAACCGUGAGACAGGUGCUGCAUGGCUGUCGUCAGCUCGUGUUGUGAAAUGUUGGGUUAAGUCCCGCAACGAGCGCAACCCUUAUCCUUUGUUGCCAGCGGUUAGGCCGGGAACUCAAAGGAGACUGCCAGUGAUAAACUGGAGGAAGGUGGGGAUGACGUCAAGUCAUCAUGGCCCUUACGACCAGGGCUACACACGUGCUACAAUGGCGCAUACAAAGAGAAGCGACCUCGCGAGAGCAAGCGGACCUCAUAAAGUGCGUCGUAGUCCGGAUUGGAGUCUGCAACUCGACUCCAUGAAGUCGGAAUCGCUAGUAAUCGUGGAUCAGAAUGCCACGGUGAAUACGUUCCCGGGCCUUGUACACACCGCCCGUCACACCAUGGGAGUGGGUUGCAAAAGAAGUAGGUAGCUUAACCUUCGGGAGGGCGCUUACCACUUUGUGAUUCAUGACUGGGGUGAAGUCGUAACAAGGUAACCGUAGGGGAACCUGCGGUUGGAUCACCUCCUUA
rnacentral:rRNA from 1 species